UACAGAGGUCCCGAGCGUUGUUCGGAUUCACUGGGCGUAAAUGGUGCGUAGGUGGUGAGGUAAGUCGGAUGUGAAAUCUCCGGGCUCAACCCUGAAAUGGCAUUGGAAACUACCUUGCUGGAGGAUUUGAGGGGGGAUUGGAAUACUUGGUGUAGCAGUGAAAUGCGUAGAUAUCAAGUGGAACACCAGUGGCGAAGGCGAAUCCCUGGAAAAUACCUGACACUGAGGCACGAAAGCUAGGGGAGCAAACAGG
rnacentral:rRNA from 1 species